rnacentral:rRNA from 1 species
AUUGAACGCUGGCGGCAUGCCUUACACAUGCAAGUCGAACGGCAACGCGGGGCAACCUGGCGACGAGUGGCGAACGGGUGAGUAAUGCAUCGGAACGUGCCCAGUAGUGGGGGAUAGCCCGGCGAAAGCCGGAUUAAUACCGCAUACGACCUACGGGUGAAAGCGGGGGACCGUAAGGCCUCGCGCUAUUGGAGCGGCCGAUGUCAGAUUAGGUUGUUGGUGGGGUAAAAGCCUACCAAGCCGACGAUCUGUAGCGGGUCUGAGAGGACGACCAGCCACCCUGGGACUGAGACCCGGCCCAGACUCCUACGGGAGGCAGCAGUGGGGAAUUUUGGACAAUGGGGGCAACCCUGAUCCAGCCAUGCCGCGUGCGGGAAGAAGGCCUUCGGGUUGUAAACCGCUUUUGUCAGGGAAGAAACGCUCUGGGCUAAUACCCCGGGGUAAUGACGGUACCUGAAGAAUAAGCACCGGCUAACUACGUGCCAGCCGCCGCAGUAAAAC